rnacentral:lncRNA from 1 species
AGAAGAACAGUUAGGAGUGAACUUGAGAUUAGGUACAUAAUUACAGUCAUCCAUAAAAGAGGACAUAAUUUAAAACUUAAGCAUACUAUCGAAUAGUGUAUUCAAAAUACAUAAGUUCAAAGAAGAAAUCCUAAGAAGACUAAACUGCAGCAUCAGCAUCCUCCAGUACUUGCUCCAGAGGCACCUCCUCAACAUCUGCUCACAUCCAAGUGGAUGAUCAUUGCAAAGGAAAAACAUACACAAGCAACACACAACAUAGAAGCAAGGGUGAGCUAGAUGAAUAAGCAACAAACAUUUAGCACGAUCAAUCAAUAUCAUCAUGUUUAUUUACAUAUAAAACGAACAAUUAAAGCUUACAAUUCAAACCAUGCAUAAGUACUCAACACGACUCAUCCGGAUUUGUAUAAUUGUCGAACUAUUGGUCAUCUUUGCACUUGCAUAGUUUAGUUGGCCCUCCCCAACACUAUGCAAGGUAAAUCCUCAUAUCAGUCUAUGUCUAAACUCUGAGACUAUAGACGAGGACCUCCCUCUACUCUCACCACUCACACCGUUCCUCUCUAUUUGAGCAUGAACAAUGCUUUGGGUGUAGGGAUAGACUUACAAUUUCAAAGCUCCAUACAAUUAUACAAGACAAUAACACAAUCUCUACAAUCACCUUCAAUCAUCUCACCCUGAGAUGUUCGAUUCAUACUCAAUAACCACCAUCUUGAUUUAUAUUCUUACAAACCACACAAUUCUAAUAUGUAAACAUACAUGACACUCUGCCAAGCAAAUAACAUUAAUCAAUCCAAAUCGCAUGAAAUCAUUCCAUAUACAUUACCAGACAAUAAUAGUCCCAAAAGAACCACUAAACAACACAAACCCCGUAACUCAUACUUAGACAAAGAAAAUGGCUUUGAAACCGUCACAAACAGUUUCAGAAAGGUCCAAACNCNCCCCCCCCCCAAAAUGACCUAAAGAACGUCCAAAAAUGAUACUUGGAACCCCGAAAACCACCCAAAACUGUAUUGGAUGAUUUUUCAAUGACAAUAAUCGAUUAUCAUAUGUAAUAAUCGAUUAUUUAUGAGAGCUUCGAAGAAAAUACGACUCUCUGACUAGAAUAAUCGAUUAUCAAGUGAGAUAAUCGAUUAUUCUUAUCACUUUUUUUAGCAAACUGAUUUUUCUGGUUUUGGUGCAUCUGAGACAUAUCUAAAUGAUCAAUUAAAAUUUGUAACACUAAUAUUGAUACGAAACAUGUUUAUAGAUGAAAGUAAAGUAUUGCAUUAUUGGAUAGGCAUUAGAUGUACUAAACCAACUCAUUCCACUCCAAAACAUCAAACUCAAUAACUAGAGGACCCCAAACCUAAUUCUAACACUUCGUACCUAUUUUGACCAAUUUGUUGAAUCAAACAAGUCCUUAUCCACUUGCUAAGACUACCCCAAUGGCCCAAUUAUACCCAGAACGCCCACAACAUAAAACCACUACCUCACUUCCUCUCAAGAGACCCCAAAACACUAUAUUUUUCCUUAACCUUCUAUCCAAUUCAACUAUAACAGAUUUAAUACACCAAAUACUCCCAAGCACUUCCAAUAUGUCCAAUUACAACAACUAAUUACAUACAAUUCACUUUACAAACAUUACAUUACAGUUUCACAAGUUCCAUAGCACAGUACAUACAACUCAAUACACUUAAAAGCGAACACGCAGUCAAAGCAGCAUACAAGUUCAAACUCCAUCACAUACCCAUCAUAAAAUCAAUUUACAGGAAAUAACUAGCUCCCGUUACCUUGAUUCAAAACACAAUUCAUCUCACAAAACGCUUUAAUAACGCCUCACAUGCACAACAUAGUUUUGACGAUGAAGAUCACAUGCACAAUAGAGGUUUUGCAUGCUCAAAGCCCUAGAAGCAUGAGGAAAGGGAAGAACAGUUUACCAGCUGAAUAACGAGAAACCAAUCUGUUCAAGUCGAAGCUUUC